UACGUAGGGGGCAAGCGUUGUCCGGAUUUAUUGGGCGUAAAGAGCGUGUAGGCGGUUUGGUAGGUCCGCUGUGAAAACUCGAGCUCAACCUCGAGACGCCGGUGGAAACCAUCAGACUAGAGUCCGGAAGAGGAGAGUGGAAUUCCUGGUGUAGCGGUGAAAUGCGCAGAGUAUCAGGAAGAACACCCCGUGGCUAAGGCGGCUCUCUAGUACGGUACUGACGCUGAGACGCGAAAGCGUGGGGAGCGAACAGG
rnacentral:rRNA from 1 species